UCUCUCUCCCUCUCUCUCACGCAACCACUUCACGCCCCUCUCUCUCUCUCUCUCUCACUUAACGGCAAUGAAUCGACCACCUCAUAAACCACCUUCAUCAAAGUCGAUACUUCCUCCUUCAAGCAAGUUGUCCAUAUGCUCAUUGAAGCCCCCUCCCUUAGCUUGUUCUCAACCUCAUCACGCCGCGCCUACCCUACUCGUUCGAUCACUCUAUUGUGGAUCUGGUCUAAUAAGGCGGGUACAGUAAAAGCCCAAGUUUGGAUACGAAAGAACCAUCAAAGAGAAGGGGUUUAACUUGCAUCUGUCACUGGCGACUACUCCUAGGACCGUCGAGCCUAGAUUACUAUCUCUGUUAUCGACCACAUCUCUUAGAGCUUCAGGUGAUGAAAAGAGAAGUAAAAUUUUUCGAAAGGAAUGAGAAGGAGCCAUAAGGCUAAAAGCAUCUUAGAGAGAUAUCGCAAGCCACAUAAUAUGUGAAAACAAGAUGGGGUGUGAAAACAUGGAUGUUUCAUUUAAACAAAAACACGGAUGUUUCAUUUAAACACCCAUCCGUGCAUGGAUGGGCAUGCAAUAGCCAUGACCACGAGCAGAUGAGUAGGGUUUCAAGUGUCCUUGUUUCUAUUUUGAAACAAAAAAGCAUGAGAGAGUUUGAAAAUCAUAGAGAGGUUCAAGUUUGCUCUACUAGGGCACAAAUUUCUGUGGCUUGGAGUGGUUCUUAAGUUGUGCAGCCAUUCCAGGUGAGUUUCUAGCUUCCUCUUCUACAUUUCUACAUACUUUUCUUUGAGUUUGAGGAUAAUUUCUGAGCUAGGAUUUCCUAUAAGAUGUUUGAUCCAAACCUAUGAUUAUUUUUUAUGGUUGUUGAGAUUGUCGAGAGUCUAAUAAAUGCUGCAUAAUAUUUAUUUAACGUUGGAAUUUGAAUUUGAGGAUUUUGAGUUAAACCCUAGAUUUAAAUGGCGAAGGUUGGAUGAAAUAGAUGUUUAGAUGUUUGUUUAAGCAUAGAUUAAUGCUUUUAUGGUAUUAGAAUUUUAAUUUGAUUCUUGAGGACAAUUUUUUAUUUUUGGGGUAUUUUGGAUGAAUUUUGAAGUUAUGUAAUGAUAAAAUAUUGAUGGUGGGAUUGAUUUAAGAUUUAAUUAAAGCUUAUAAGUGUAAGAGGAUGUUAAAAGAAUUUUGGGAAGGGUUAAAAUGGGCACUAACAUUGAUUUAGUAUUAAGUGUGGGUUAGGCCUAUACUUACUACCUCCAAAUUUAGAUUUAUUUAUUUGUUACAAUAUGAAAUUAAUAUGUAGUAUGAUGUAAUAAUUGUGUAGAUUGUGUUGAUCAAAAGAAUGGACUAAUGUGGAUUUGAAAGGAAAUUUAUUGUCCAAAACACAAGAUAAUCAUUAUUAAUAUGUGGUGGGAGUGGGUGUGUGUGAUUAUGUGUGGUUUAUUGUUUGAAAAAUCAUAAUUGUUUCGAAGUACAUGUAUGUAUUUGUUUAGAAUUAUUGCCAAGUGGGUUAAAUUGUAUAUGUCUAUUAUGUAAAGAUAUUAUUGUUUGGAAGCAUGAAAACUAUUCGGUUAUGUUUUUGUUUGGUUGUUUAAAAUAUACAUGAUUUGUUGAGAUAUUUUAAAAUAUUAUUGUUAGGAAAUUUUUUUUUUGAUACUUAUUACCACAAGGCACCCUCAUUGGACCCAAUGAGUGGCAUGUAGCUUGGUCCAAUUUAUAUUUGGCUAGGUGAUUUGGCUUCUGGGCAUGGCGUAAGGAGAGAUAUAAGGUAUAAUCAUGUGAUUAAAUAUUUGUUUAAUUUGUUUGAAAAUAUUUGUUCGGGUAAAUGUUUUGUGUGCUUGCAUAGUAAUCGCAUAAUUAGUUACAUCCACAUGCAUCGUUACAUAUUAAUUCUAGUUAUUAAGACUUUUAAGUUUCAUUUCCCUUGGCUAACAAUUUUUAUAGGAAUGAGUUUGGUCGAGGAAGCACCAGAGGAAUAAUUUUGGUGAGGCACCACCGUUUGCAUUACCUCUUUAUUUGGUUUAUGUAAUAUAUAUUGUGCCAACUUAGAAUAUAUAUUAUUUCAUAGAGCAUAUAGACUCUAAUUUUGAUUAACUGCAUAUAUGGACAAGAGGAGUAUAUCUGUCCCUCUUGGGUCUUUACUUGACUUGAAUAUUAUACCAUGAGGAUUUUGUUUUUCUCUCUUGGCCUUAGAUUUGACUAGUAUGAUUGAUCAUGAGAAUUCUUCUACCCCUCAUUGUCCUAACUACUUUUUGAAAUACUGGUCAUAUUAAAUUUGUUUGGAAUUAUUGAGCAAUUAGUAAGCUUGUAUAGAUGAUAUUAUUAGAUGUGAUCAUGUUGUGAACAAGUAUACUUCCUAUAACUAU